AAAUUUAUCUAUAUAAGGGCCUGUCUUCAGUAAAUGGAGAAUCACAAGAUUGAAAAAUUUAGAAACGGUUGAGCCUUCUUUUUGGACUCUGAAAACACUGAAAGUUGUUUGAGAUUUAUUUGGUUCUGUUCUUGGAGUUCUCUUGUUAGUCAGAAUUUGUAAAAGCUCCAAAGAUUUGUGCUCAUCUGGGUUUUUAGACUAGUUUGAAAGAAGUUGGUUUGAUUAGGUUGUUUAGCUGUUCUGAUGGUGUUGCUAAUUCUUCAUUCUCUUUGUUUCUCUCUUGACUUCCAGAUAUCUUUCAAAUCAUGGGUAACACAUGAGGUGUAACGUGCAAUUUGAAUGAAGAUACAUGGUGAAUACGAUUUGUUUUUACUGAAUCUUGUUUCCCUACUUCUCCAUUUCAUUCAUGUUUUUGUAAUAAUUUAAUCUUAUGUGAAUUCUAUUAGCCUUUUCAUGUUGUGAAUGUGGUAUAAGGUAAAUUGCCUUUGGUUUUAGUCUAAUUUUUCUGAAGGCUAGUGUGAUCUCUAGAUUUAAGUUAGUUGCAUGUUGAUCUCAUGGAUUUUUUUUGGCUACUGCUUGUAUUAGAGAGGUUUCGAUUGAGGCUUAAAGUUCACACAAUUAUUUAUAGGUCAACUUGGGACUGAAUUUAGUUCGAAUGCUGUGCAUCUUUGUCUUCAUGUCAUUAGCUUAAUCGAAAUUAAAACAGUAAUUAUCUUAGACGUGUAAUAUGGUCCUGGUUUGUGUAUAGCAGGCGUGACCUAAAUGUUUGAAAGCCC
rnacentral:lncRNA from 1 species